UUUCAACACUGUGUUGAACACAGGCCAGGGCAGGUCAAAUACUGCGUACAUUUAUGUGGCAGUGAGUUGUGUGUUCUGGAAAGAUGGCAGAGAGACUGAAAACAAUAUUUGGGCAUCUGAAUUCUGAUGCUGUUAUAUCUCCAAGUCCAGCAUCCUCUGGUGCAGUUCACUCUGGGCUGCAGUCAUUUCGAUACACAUUAGACAAUCCUGUGUUGUCCUAUGAGCAAAGGAAGUUCUACGAGGACAAUGGAUACAUAGUGAUAAGGAAUCUGGUACCCAAGGAAAAACUAGAUGUCUAUAGAGAACGAUUUGAGCAGAUAUGCAGGAGGGAAGUUGAAAUUCCUGGUUUGACCAUAAUGAGAGAUGUAGCUAUCGCUCGGUCAGAGUUUGUUCCAGGGGAACAGGCAGUGACUAAACUUCAGGAGUUUCAAAAUGACGACAUCUUGUUUGGAUAUUGUGAACUACCAGAGAUUAUCAAGUAUGUGCAGACGUUCACAGGAAAAGAAGUCAAGGCCAUGCACACCAUGUUGAUCAACAAACCCCCAGAUCCAGGUAUGAGCUGCCAAAAAAUGGGCUAUGAAUUUAAGACUUGACUCAUGUUCAGACUCAAAGUAUAGUACAUGUACUUUUUAUUUAAUGAUAUUUAAUGACUACUAACAUAAAAUACAAUGCAUUUAAUUGUUUUAAAAAAGAUAUUCUGUAUCUGUUCUGUUUAUCCAUACAUGAAUUUCAAAAAAAGAUGUAUAAUUAUAAUUUUACCAAAAAUUGAUGUAUGGUACAUUUUCUUUUAUACCAAACCAAGGUUUAAUUGUAUUAUUUUGUUGCUUUUAUUUUUAGAUCUUAAAAACAUGUCCAGGUAGCUUCCUCGCUUUUUGAUGUCCAAGUAUAAAAUUAUUGAUUUUUAGGACAACAUUGGGUAUCAUUUCUGUAUUGAUAAAAGCAGAGAACUAAAAAUAUACAAAAAUUUUCAGGCAAGAAAACCUCAAGACACCCUUUACACCAGGACCUGCACUACUUCCCGUUCCGACCAGCGGACAGGGUUGUCUGCUCUUGGACAGCCAUGCAGAAGGUCAACCGAGAAAAUGGCUGCCUGGUCGUACUGCCUGGUACUCACAAAGGGGAACUACUCCAACAUGACUAUCCUGAAUGGGAGGGAGGUGUCAACAAGAUGUACCAUGGGGUCAGAGACUUUGAUCCCAAUGCUCCUAGAGUCCAUCUGCCCAUGGACACCGGGGACACCGUGUUCUUCCAUCCUCUGCUGAUUCAUGGAUCAGGAAUGAAUAAGACAAAGGGAUUCCGAAAGUCUAUUUCAUGCCAUUAUGCAUCUGCUGACAUUAACUACAUUGAUGUCAAAGGCUCCAUUCAAGACGGGGUGGAAAAGGAAGUUUUUGAAAUGGUUCACAAAAAACUGGUUGCCAGAGGAGUUGACCCCACAAAAUUGACAAUGAAGGACCUCUGGAUGUUCAAGAGUAGAGAUGUAUCUCUGCCUCUGAAUUAGAUUGGAGUUUGAUGGUUUACCAAGAGACAUCAUAUGAUUAUGUACUGAAUUUUUUUUAAAAAAUCAACUUGGUGAUUGUGAAGAAAAAAACUGUGAAUCAACAGACGUUAUAAUGUUUCAAUUUGAUAUAAGAGAAAUGACACUUAAAAAAACUCUCUUGCAUCAUUUUGUGUAGAGCUGUGAUAUAUAUUGAUUUAAAAGUUUUAUUUUACCCGGUAUAUACCGGUACUUUAGUGUGUAAAAUUUGUUUUUUCAUUCAUCGAGUUCUAGCUGGCUCAGUGGAUUUAAAAAAUGUGACAAAUGUCCUCAAUUAAUAUUCAAAGUCACUCCAUUAAUAUAUUAACAGCUAGUUUUCCAUUUUGGAAAAUAGUGUUUCAAUUAGAAUAUAUUAAGUGAAAUUAAAGUUUUAAAGUUUUAUGCUUGAUUUGUAACAUGCCUAUUAUGAUGACCAUAUUUAUUCAAAUGUCAUGAUUUUUAUCUGUAUCAAAACUAAUUGAAUGGGAAGUGAAUUUGUGCAUUAUUUACACAAAAUGUGAAUAACAUGUACUUGAGAAUUACACAAGAAUGAACCAUACAAGUGAUAAGAGGGAUUUUAUAUAAUAAUUUUAUAAUCUGAUUUCAGGAAUAAAUUGUCAGGUUGAUCAUAUGUUUGCGAAAAAAAAAAUUGGUACACAUGCAAACACAGAAUGAGCUAUUAUCUAUCAAUCUGGUCAGACUUGUAUAUAGUGAUGGUUACCUUAAAUUCUGUUAUUCAGUUGUUGAUUUAUUUGCUAAUAAAUUGUUUAUUCAAU
rnacentral:misc_RNA from 1 species